ACCUGGUACAUAGUAGGUUUUUGAAAUGUUUGUUGAAUUGACUUCUUAUCAGACACAAGCAUGAUGGAGCCAUGGAGCGAUGGUACCCAGACCUGGUGGAUCUCACGCUCGCCUUCCCUGUGAUCCUUGCUGACAGGUACCUGGGACUCAGGCUGGUGGCACCUCCUGGGAGCUCUGCCUGCUCCCAGAUCUUCCUGGGCACAGUUGAGGUUUCACAGCAUAUUCUUACUGGACUGCAAGAUCAGAGAGACCAGCCCUAAAGGGGUUCCCAGGAUUCCAAAAGAAGUUUGCAAACAUGAUCUCAUCUAAUUCUCAUCUUUAAGAGGCCCCGUUUUGAUUCAGAAAAUCGUUCUGACAAACCAUUAUUGAUGAAGAUAAGCCCAGGGUUACAGGAACAAAAGCCCAGCAACUUGUUGGAGCCCUCAGCCACAGAG